UUCUAGAUUCUCCAUUGCGCAUUAGUUAAUAUCCACAUAGACAUAAUGUUACAGUAACAUCAUUCUCGAUCAUUCACGUCAAAGAAAACCCUCGUCUAUUUCUUCCAUCUAACCCUACAAAGAGAAAGAGGCAUCUCUAGAUUCUCCAUUGCUCAUUACUGCCAUCAUCAAUCACUCAUUCGUGGAUUCAUCGUCACCACUCAUCGGUCAUCAGCUCGUCACCAACACUCACCGGUUUAGACUUCAAAUUAAGUGAUUUUGUUAUGUCAAAAACGAAUGACUAUAUUGAAAUGGAAGAUGAGACGAUUGAACUUGAAUGUAACACUCAAAAUCAGGAAGACCAGGAAAGGAAAGAAAAUCCAUAAGUCAAAGGAGUCAACUCGUCGAGUCCAAGGAGGAACUCGACUUGUCGGAGCGUGACCCGUGUCGCGGAUCAAGUGACCGACUCGGCGAGUCUGGUCUGGAUUGAAAAAUCCUAAUUUCCAGACUUGGUACCCUAUUUAAGCAUCAUUUCAGGCCUCCACCCCAGCCUCCAUCACUCCCUUUACCUACUCUCGAAACUGUAAGAAUAAAAAUGUUGUAAUAAGUCGAAAGGUGUAGGUUGUCAUACGAAGGGUUUCAUGUCUUCGUAUGUUAUGUAUUUAUUUUACUAAGGAAAUGUAUUCAGUGCGCUUCACGCUUA